rnacentral:rRNA from 1 species
UUCGCAAUGCCCGAAAGGGUGACGAAGCGACGCCGCGCGGGUGAGGAAGGCCCUCGGGUUGUAAAGCCCUGUCAGGAGUUAAGAAACGUAGAUACGCUAAUAUCGUAUCUAUUUGACAAAGGCUCCAAAGGAAGCCACGGCUAACUCUGUGCCAGCAGCCGCGGUAAUACAGAGGUGGCAAGCGUUGUUCGGAAUUAUUGGGCGUAAAGAGCACGUAGGUGGAUUUGUAAGUCAGAUGUGAAAGCCUUCUGUUCAACGGAAGAAUUGCAUCUGAAACUACAAACCUUGAGUAUAGGAGGGGAGAAUGGAACUUCUGGUGGAGCGGUGAAAUGCGUAGAUAUCAGAAGGAACGCCGGCGGCGAAAGCGAUUCUCUGGCCUAUUACUGACACUCAGUGUGCGAAAGCUAGGGGAGCAAACGGGAUUAGAUACCCCGGUAGUCCUAGUCGUAAACGAUGGGCACUAAGUAGAGGGGUUUU